rnacentral:hammerhead_ribozyme from 1 species
AUACAGAUGACUAGUCCCAAGUAGGACGAAACAUGUGUCCUGUAU